rnacentral:lncRNA from 1 species
AAAUUGCAAAGAGCACAAACUGUAGGUGCUCCUUGUGAGGAACCAAACAAAUCCAUUGUUGCAAUGCUCUCAAAAUCAAUAUAAAAUAAAAUCAAAAUCAAGUAAAUAAAAAGAUAUAUACAAAAAUAAUUAACUAAGAGCUGAUAAACACAAAUUAUUUGAAGCAAUCCCUGGCAACGGCACCAAUUUCUUGAUAGAAAUUUUUACCACCUGCAAAAGUGAGGAUAAAAACACUUAAAAAUACUUGCAAGAGUAUAAGGUUGUGUAGUAUAGCAGCUCAAACAAGGUCGUUCUCCACAUAGAUUGAAUGAAUAAUUUAUGUUAAAAUUAAAUCUUAAUUAAUUAUUUGAAAAUAAAGUUUGGAAGAGGUUGAUUUUAUGACCAAAAAUAUUAAAAACAAAUUUAAUUAAAAUAGUUUUGAAAAUAAAUUUGAGCACUAGGGUUCCGCCGUCAUCUUAACAAUCCUACGUAGUUCUUUCAAUUACUUAUGACUUACACACACAUAUUUGAAAGUUAGGUUUUUCUAAAGUAUGCCCUACUUGGAACCUCCAACAUAUAACGUAUAUCUAACAUGCAACUCGUCCGUAGUGUUCAAAUCGAAUAUGAACAUGCAAGACUCAUUAAGUUUUGUGAAAACCUUUUGAAAAACCAUAUAACCCUUAAGACGUGUCCAUCCUAAGAAGUUACACAUUAACCAUAAGAAGCCAAAGCCAAUUCAAGGGACAGACCUCCGCCAAAAUUGCAUCAAAUUAUUUUUCUAAAUAUCCAAAUGAUGGCCAAUCAUCAAGACAAUUAGAUAGUUUAAACCAGUGAUUAAUAAUUCAAAACCCGUAUGCAUAAUAUUAUAAGCAAAUUGAAAAGAAACUACAUAUUCUUACUAAGGCUUGUAGACUCGCCCCAAUAAACGAAACUAGUUACUAACAACCAUAAAACAAAAUAUUAUUAAAAACAUGGAUAGAAAACACCUUGAAAAUAAACUUGAAUUGUCAAAAGCUCUCUAAAGCCAAAUGCGUGUGUUCUCCCCCUCUUCUCCCUAAUGGCUAAAAAGCCUUAUUUACAUUACUUCAAAAUAAAACCCUUACUAGAAGAGGUCUUAAAAUAAUACUAGGAAACAUAAUAAAAUAAUAAAACAGAAAAUAAAUGGUUUUCUAUUUGAACUAAAAUUCGGAGUUCUCAGAAAAUUAGUCUUAUGACCGACCAAAUCAACUUUGAUUUGGUUCCAAAAUGUCUCUUUUGAAGCUAAAGAUGUCCCCUACAUAUCCUCAGAAGGAAUAUCCCUUAAAAUAUGCCUUCUUGACCUUCAAAAUACUCACAAUGUCCAUAAACGUUUAUCUAGGAAAGCUGCGCGCUGGACCUUCAUUUCUUUGCCACGGUCAAACGGCUCUGCAGAAAAAUCUAGAAUUUUGAUACAAUAAUCUUGAAAGACUCACAAACAUCCUCCAAUUGGAACUACUCCAAAAUUUAUCCGUUUGUUCGCUUUUUGCUCUAGAAGAAUUCGAAUGUCCUUAGUUCAACAAUUACAAUAUGUCACUAUAUGUUCAUAUAUAAUUACUAAACUUUAUUCCCAUGACAACAACCAUAUCCAAUAGGGACCUUCACUUAACCAAAAUAAAAAUUAUGUAUUUGAACUUUUUAUUAUUUCAAAUAGGUCCCCAAAAUUUUGAUAAUUGCACUUUGGCCCCUGAACUUCUGGUAAUUUACAAAAUUACCCUAAAACUAAAACUAUUUUCACAAUUCAAUCCUUGGUAUGAAACCAGCAGCUUUGAGGUUUGUUUUCCUAGAAAUUCAACAUAUCUUUCAAGCCAAAGCACAAUCAUCAAUAGUACAACUCAUUUCUUCCAUACAAACGUCCUUUAAAGACCAAAUUUGAUGAAUUUCGAGUCAAACAUAAAAUUUCUCUAAAUCUCAUCCAUAUGAAAGUGGUACAAAAUCCCAGAAAUCUGAUCAUAUGUAAAUCUUUACCUUAAUGUCUCAUAAAUCAUUGUCCAGUCAUCAAAUAGGCAUCAAAGCCCUUGAUUUCAAAGCUAAAACGAUGAUCCACGUCACUAUUGCAAUAGCUAAGCUCCAUGUACUUGAGCAAGCUCCUUGAUCACUCAUAAUGCCAUGUAUUUCUUCCACUCUAUUUUUUUUUUCUAAUCUCUCUCUCUAACAUAUACACACACGUAUACACAAACCAUGCAUGCAUACAUGCAUGGCUUCUCAGUAGCCAACAUAUGUUUCGAAAAGU